AUACGAAGGGGGCUAGCGUUGUUCGGAAUUACUGGGCGUAAAGCGCGCGUAGGCGGACUGAUCAGUUGGGGGUGAAAUCCCAGGGCUUAACCCGGGAACUGCCUCCAAUACUGUCAGUCUUGAGUUCGGGAGAGGUGAGUGGAAUUCCUAGUGUAGAGGUGAAAUUCGUAGAUAUUAGGAAGAACACCAGUGGCGAAGGCGGCUCACUGGCCCGAUACUGACGCUGAGGCGCGAAAGCGUGGGGAGCAAACAGGAUUAGAUACCCUAGUAGUCC
rnacentral:rRNA from 1 species